ACAGCGCUUUCAUAGGUUCUUCCUCAGUCAGUGGGGCCAGGAUUUGGUAGCUGGCACUUACAGAAAACCCUUGAUUACACCAUUGCCCUCAUAAUGUACCAGUGGCAGUUGUCUCUCAGGGGAGCAGAU
ensembl:snoRNA